UCAAACAAAAACAAGCUCACAAUCCUCACCAACAAAUCUAUCGAAAAUGACUAUUAUUAAAUCUCCAAACUGUAAGUUAUUGACUUAAACUCUUUCGUAUUGUAUUGCUUCAUGAAUUCAUUCCCAAAAGACGGAAACAAGAAUAUGUACUCACAAGGCUUAAGAGUAUUAAAUAAUUAUUCAGCUUUUUUUUAUUCACUGAAUUGAACUUUGGUCUAGCAAAUGUGAGAAAGUACCAACAUUGCCAAUUAUAAUUCCCCACGACGCCAUUCAUAUUUUAUGAAUAAUGCUUGAAAUCUGAGAAAUACUUGGUAAAAAUCUGCUAAAAAUAUGAUUUACUGCUGAUCACCACUUGAACUCACAUCCGUUGUCAAUUUGCUAGAGUGUACUGACACUAGCUACAUGUGUCUGUACACAUGUACGCAUGGCAAAACAUUGCCUACAGAGGUGUGUUUCCUCUAAUAACAUGGUUCAUCUUUAAUGACGUAUUCUUGAAGUAAAAUAGGGAUAGGCAGUGACGUCCAUUCAACAAGAACAGGUGUGGCAUAUGAACCAGAAAACAACAACAACAACAACACAACACUGGCAGCAAAAGUAGGGUUUCCGGUUUUGUCUAAAUUAAACUAUAUCAAACAUAUUGAAAUAUAUAUAUUAUAUAAAUGUCCCUAUCUAUAUAAAUAAAGGCAAAUAUAUCUAUAUACAUACGAUAUAUUAAAUACGUUAUACAGUAUAUUAUAUUAUUUCAUAUUUAGAUAUAUAUAUAUUGAAAGAGGCAUUUUCAUGAACAUCUCACGCAACAGAUAUGCUCUCUUUUUAAUCUAUCUAGCUGUCUGCACUGGCUCGUUACAGCUAAACUGGAGUCCAAGUAAAGCAUUUAGCUGACAUUUUCUCAAAUUGUUACUUCUUCAGUUUAUUUGGUUCAAUACACUGUAACCCGGGUUAUUGCUUUAUCAGCCCCAAUAGCUUCUACCUGUGUACGUCAAACACAUGGCAGUGCAGCACAGGGCUGGAGGCAUCAGGGUCUGAGCUGAGUUUCAAGUGAUCUUGCAUCCCUCCGCAGGUGCUCUAUCUAAGGUUUUACAAGUGUGUUACAACGCACUUGAUAAACCGCAACACGUUAUUCUCAAUGUUCUUUUAUCUAUGUUAAUACAGACAGAGGCAGUCGGGUCAAUACAAAAACAGCAGGGGUUGGAAUGUCACCUGAACACAUCAACAGCACAGCACUGCUAAAAAUAACUGGAAAAGUAUCCACCAAGUGCUGCAAAGAUCAAUGUUGUGUGUUACGUAUAGGGAUAUGACCUGUUGGAAUGGAAUGGAAGUGCGUAUGAACAGUAAAACAUUACACAAUCCUUAUUCAAAUGAACAUUUUUUUGAUUUUAUUAUUAUUCAGUCAGUAAACAUUUUAGAAGUCAAAAUUAGUAGGAAACAUAUAUGACCAAAACAUAGAUAAGUGUGGUGGAGUAAAGAAUAACGGAUCCCUUUGAAAGAGCACAACAUUGUGAUAUUUAAAAUCAUUUAAAAAUGAAGGGGAAUGAGUACAAGAAGAGAACUUUUCAAUCAUUACAAACCAUUGAAACCAAUUAAAGACUGCGAAAAUGUAAUUUAACAUUUGGGAUAUGAUCAGCAUAUGAUUUCAUUCUUUCUCUCUAUUGCAGUACGAGCACUUCAGUGUUUGACUUGCACAGAUGCACAGUGUUCAACAACAAUACCAGUCACAUGUUCCUCAGAGACGAUGUGCAUCACAGCUUCCAUUAUAGGUGGGGAUUUAUUUAUACCUGCUACUUAAAAUAAAGAAAAGUAACAUUAACAGAGUUAUCUGUGUCUUCUGUCAGUAAUGACGAAUUGCUCUUUUGAAUUUUUAGCAACUUCAUCUGGAUCACCAGCACAGCAAACAGUCAUGGCGUGUGCAUCAUGCUUCCUGUGUCCAGCCACAGGCUCUCAGACAUUUUCAGCCAACUUGGGUGUUGCAGGCGCAGUUGCAUCUGCUAAGUGCUGCAACACAGAUCAUUGCAACGCUGAAACUCUACCGGGUAAGUAAAGAUAAAAAAAGCCCAUUUAAGAUGAGAAAAUAUGAAUGUCACGCACCACAAGAGACCAGAGUGAACUCAAGCGCAGAGCGCAGUUUUAUUAGCGGGGUACAGACAAGGAUCAGGCGUGGUAGGGUCCGGUGAACAGGCAGGGGUCGAAAGCCGGGAGCGCGAAGGUAGGCAGAGGUACCGUCGAGGGUCAGGCAGGCGUGAACGCAGUUGCAUCUGCUAAGUGCUGACACACAGAUAAUUGCAACGCUGAAACUCUACCGGGUAAGUAGAGAUAAAAAAGAAGCUCAUUUAAGAUGAGAAAAUUUGAAAUAGAUAAUAAAAUAACUUUGAUAUCCUGUCAUCUUCUGAUAAUUUCAAGUUUAAUUUUGUAAAGUUGAAAUGUUGUCUCUUCAAUAAACUAAUUAUGUUCUUUUUCUGUUUCAGUCCCUGGCAGUCAGACAGAUAACAGCCUACGAUGCCUCAGUUGUGACCCCUUUACCUCUCAAUGUAAUACUGUAGUAACGUGUAGGGGAGAGAAGAACCAAUGCUUUCAAGCAAGUGGUAAGUCUUGAUCAUAAGUAGUAUAUAUGUAUGAUGUGUUUCUUUCUAUUAAUAUUUCACUACAUUCAAUUGGUAAUUAUUGUACUUUUGACUGUAUUACCUUUAACAGAAAUACAAAGUUUAAAAUAUCCUUUUUUACAGGUAUUUCAGUCAUGUUCUGCAUUGUUGUACUGCUUAUUUUUUAAUUGGCAAACUGAUAUGGAUGUUGUGUAAUGAAAAUUGACUUUUCCUCUACAGUGACAAGUGGAUCCAGCACUUCUCCAGCCUUUGGCUGUGCAUCUACAAACCUGUGUGCAGCUGCUUCCAGCCUGGGUAGCAUUCCUUUCUUGCAAAGCGUUGGAACCAUCAGCAGUGGACCAUCCUGCUGUGGGACCAGUUUGUGUAACACUGGCACCGUAACAACUGCUGCACUAACUACAACUGCAGCCCCAACAACAACAGCUGGACCGACAACAACUGCAGUCCUAACAAAAACUGCUGCACCAACUACAACUAAAGCCCCAGCAACAACUGCAGAUCCAACAACCACUGCUAAACCAACUAAAACAGCAGCCCAGACAACAACUGCUGCACCAACUACAACUGCAGCCCCAACAAGUCCUGCAACAACUACAACUGCAGCCCCAACAACAAUUGUUGCAACGACUACUACCUCAGCCCCGGAUAACAACUGCUGCACCAACUACAACUAUAGUCCCAAUUACAACUGCUGCACCAACUACAACUGCAAUCCCAACAACAACUAAAGCACCAACAACAACUGCUGCACCAACUACAUCUGUGGCCCAGACAACAACUGCAGCACAAAUAACAACUGCAGCACCAUACUAUAGGCAGCAGCCAUAACUACAACUGCAGCUCCGAUAACA
ensembl:lncRNA